GAGCAAGCCCCAACAAUCAUCAAUCACACCCAUCAUGAAAAUACCCACUCUCGCUUCUUUAAGGAUCCUCAAGCAGCAGCAAAUGGUCGAUGGAUGCGGGUUGAGCCCAAAAGACGCCGCUUAAGGAACCAGGUGCUCCACUUUCGCCGAACGAUGCCUUGGUUCCCACGAAAUGGAGUUCUUUCAUCUCUCAACCAUAUGUAGAACAACUAUCCCAUCCCAUGAACAACAACCCUGCUCUAAC
rnacentral:lncRNA from 1 species